rnacentral:rRNA from 1 species
UACGACGGGGGCUAGCGUUGCUCGGCAUCACUGGGCGUAAAGCGCACGUAGGCGGCUUCUUAAGUCAGGGGUGAAAUCCUGGAGCUCAACUCCGGAUGUGCAUAGGAUACUGGAAGGCUAGAGACUGGUAGAGGCGAGCGGAAUUCCUGGUGUAGCGGUGGAAUGCGUAGAUAUCAGGAGGAACACCUGCGGUGUAGACGGCUUACUGGACCAUAACUGACGCUGAGGCACGAAAGCGUGGGUAGCAAACAGG